GUUUUGAGCAUGAAGGUUUGGGGGCGCCUCCCUAAUAAAGGGGAAAAAAGGCUCACGCCCCAGCUGGGCUGGGCCCUGUGGCUCUUCCCCUUUGGAACUUCCUGAGCUGCACAAGGUUUCAAAAAUCUCUCAGGACCCAGCAACUGUCCACCUCCUCAAAGGCCUCUCACCACUGGCUAGAAUCUGGGGCAACUGCCUGACUUGGCGCCCAGUCGAGGGAGGAGAACACCCGCCCAACACAUCUCCCGGCACCGGUCCAUUUCACCGUGCCCUCGGGGAAAGCCACUUUCUGUCCCUCAGAUCGCAAGUUUCCAGGCUGCAGCGGCAUGGGGGUGGGCGUGGAGGUGGGGAGCAGUGGAGGAACCUCUCCGGCUAUUCUCCCACUGUGGCUGCUUGCCUCGCGCAAACCUCCUGCAGCCCCUUCUCAGCCUUUUCCUCAGAGAAAGGCAGGGCUCCUGUUUCCCCUGCCUGAGCAGAAGUGGCCCCGGGCCGCCUGAUUCCCCAAGGGGACCAGGGAGGUGCGCUGCGAGACGCUGGGCAGUCCUCUGGCCCCUAGGACUUUUCGGGAGAAAGUUUUCUAAAGGCUCUCCAAGUCUUCUCUUUCCCAAGGCUGGAGAGAGUGGUGUCCACCGCCCGGAGCGGCGGACAGCUGGGCGCCCGCCCUGAUUUAUACAUUAGAGUCCAGGGGGCACCCGGCUACUCUGUCUCUCUGUCUCUCUGAUUCUCUGUCUCUCGGUCUCUGUCUCUGUCUCUGUCUCUGUCUCUGUCUCUGUCUCUCUCUCUCUCUGUCUGUCUCUCUCCUCCCCCCUUCUCUCUUUUUUUGUUGCUUGGGGGUGGGGAGGGGUUCUUUUAUUUGUUUCUGCCCCAGAUCUUUCCUGGACAGUCUCAGCAGUGGAGAUUCGGGGGCCCCCAGCCGCAGGCGGAGGGCGUGGGAGUUUGAAGCAUUUAACCUCUUCCCGCCUCUUCUUAAAGAAGCCACCCAGCGUCAGCGGGCGCUCUGCGACUUCAGCUGGCGGGCCGGCGCGCGCCGCAGCGAGCGGGGCUGGCCAAUGGAGUUGCGGCUGCGGAGGGAGGGGACCCCGACUGCAGUAAGUUUAGAGAGCGACACUGUCAGGCACCGGCAGCAGCAAGAUGACGAGCGCUCAGUGCAGACCCGGAGCUCGUCGAACGCAACUUCGUCCCGCCUGAGCGAGGCUGCGGUUUCCGAGGCCCUCUCCAGCCAAGAAAAAGAUACGCGAAAAGCCUGGAUUUCUCUCAUUGAAUCACCCCUGAUAGCAAGCGAAGGCUCUCUCCGCGUCGCCCUCUAGCGUUCGCUGGAGAAGCGGCACCUCCGGU
rnacentral:lncRNA from 1 species